rnacentral:lncRNA from 1 species
CAGUUCUUAACGGCCGCGCGUCCAGAGUCUGUUCCUUCUGAUGUUCGGAUGUGUUCGGAGUUUCUUCCUUCUGGUGGGUUCGUGGUCUCGCUGGCUCGGGAGUGAAGCUGCAGACGUUUGCGGAACUCGUGAGUUAUGACAAAAAGAUAUUAUGACUCCCAUGCAGCGGAUGAAGACAUUGAUGCCCAUGAAAGGAGAUUCACAAGCCUCCCUCCCAGAUUCAGGGAAGGAGAUGCAGCCCCCACCCCUUGACUGGAGGAGGACCAAGGUCACCUUGCAGAGCACCGUGAGAUGUGGAAGAUGCCAGAACUGUCUGUGGGAAAUGGGAUUUGUACUUGGCUUGUCUGCCUCUUGCAACCAGAGUCCUGGUUCUCAGGGCCUCACCUGUGCAUCUCUUGUUGAGCACAGAGGAGGCACUCGGCAUAAAUGAAGAGGAUGCUUGCUGAGCUGGCUGGCCCAUCCUCUCUUCUUUCCCUUGUUUUUCUAUUUUAUCUUUCAAAGCAGUGUUUCAAGUGUUUAUAAACUAAUCUAUGUAUAAAAUAUUAUGUGGCAUAAGAUUUGCAAAAUAUUAAAGAUUUAAAGAAUCAAAUAAAAUAUUUGUAUGAUACCACAAAAAAAAAA